CCUACGGGCGACAGCAGUGAGGAAUAUUGGUCAAUGGGCGCGAGCCUGAACCAGCCAAGUAGCGUGAAGGAUGACUGCCCUACGGGUUGUAAACUUCUUUUAUAAAGGAAUAAAGUGAGGCACGUGUGCCUUUUUGUAUGUACUUUAUGAAUAAGGAUCGGCUAACUCCGUGUCAGCAGCCGCGGUAAUACGGAGGAUCCGAGCGUUAUCCGGAUUUAUUGGGUUUAAAGGGAGCGUAGAUGGGUUGUUAAGUCAGUUGUGAAAGUUUGCGGCUCAACCGUAAACUUGCAAUUGAAACUGGCAGCAUUGAGUACAGUUGAGGUAGGCGGAAUGCGUGGUGUAGCGGUGAAAUGCUUAGAUAGCACGAAGAACUCCGAUUGCGAAGGCAGCCUACGAAACUGCCACUGACAUUGAUGCACGAAAGUGUGGGUAUCAAACAGGAUUAGAUACCCUUGUAGUC
rnacentral:rRNA from 1 species